rnacentral:tRNA from 1 species
GGAGGGGUGGCAGAGUGGUUUAAUGCACCGGUCUUGAAAACCGGCGUCCGCAAGGACUCGUGGGUUCGAAUCCCACCUCCUCCG